rnacentral:rRNA from 1 species
GUGCCAGCAGCCGCGGUAAUACGUAGGGUGCAAGCGUUAAUCGGAAUUACUGGGCGUAAAGCGUGCGCAGGCGGUUUUGUAAGUCUGUCGUGAAAGCCCCGGGCUUAACCUGGGAAUUGCGAUGGAGACUGCAAGGCUUGAAUCUGGCAGAGGGGGGUAGAAUUCCACGUGUAGCAGUGAAAUGCGUAGAGAUGUGGAGGAACACCGAUGGCGAAGGCAGCCCCCUGGGUCAAGAUUGACGCUCAUGCACGAAAGCGUGGGGAGCAACAGGAUUAGAUACC